rnacentral:rRNA from 1 species
UGGGGAAUAUUGCACAAUGGACGGAAGUUUGAUGCAGCGACGCCGCGUGGAGGGCGUAGGCCUUCGGGUUGUGAACUCCUUUUUCUCGCGAAAAAGGCACAGUUUUGGCUGUGUUGAUGGUAGUGGGGGCAGAAGCGCCGGCUAACUACGUGCCAGCAGCCGCGGUAAUACGUAGGGCGCGAGUGUUGUCCGGAUUUAUUUGGCGUAAAGGGCUCGUAGGUGGUUCGUCGCGUCUGUCGUGAAAGCCAGCAGCUUAACUGUUGGUCGGGGGUGGGUACGGGCGGGCUUGAGGGCGGUAGGGGAGAGUGGAAUUCCUGGUGUAGCGGUGGAAUGCGAAGAUGUCAGGAGGAACACCGAUGGCGAAGGCAGGUCACUGGGCCGUUACUGACACUGAGGAGCGAAAGCGUGGGGAGCGAACAGG